rnacentral:rRNA from 1 species
UACGAAGGGGGCUAGCGUUGCUCGGAAUCACUGGGCGUAAAGCGCACGUAGGCGGCUUUUUAAGUCAGAGGUGAAAUCCUGGAGCUCAACUCCAGAACUGCCUUUGAUACUGGAGAGCUUGAGUCCGGGAGAGGUGAGUGGAACUGCGAGUGUAGAGGUGAAAUUCGUAAAUAUUCGCAAGAACACCAGUGGCGAAGGCGGCUCACUGGCCCGGUACUGACGCUGAGGUGCGAAAGCGUGGGGAGCAAACAGG